rnacentral:rRNA from 1 species
AUACGGAGGGAGCUAGCGUUGUUCGGAAAUACUGGGCGUAAAGCGAACGUAGGCGGUCUAUUAAGUCAGGGGUGAAAUCCCGGAGCUCAACUCCGGAACUGCCCUUGAAACUGCUAGACUAGAAUCCUGGAGAGGUCAGUGGAAUUCCGAGUGUAGAGGUGAAAUUCGUAGAUAUUCGGAAGAACACCAGUGGCGAAGGCGACUGACUGGACAGGUAUUGACGCUGAGGUUCGAAAGCGUGGGGAGCAAACAGGAUUAGAUACCCUGGUAGUCCACGCCGUAAACGAUGAUAACUAGCUGUCCGGGCUCAUAGAGCUUGGGUGGCGCAGCUAACGCAUUAAGUUAUCCGCCUGGGGAGUACGGUCGCAAGAUUAAA